UACGGAGGGUGCAAGCGUUAUCCGGAUUCACUGGGUUUAAAGGGUGCGUAGGCGGGCAGGUAAGUCAGUGGUGAAAUCCUAGAGCUUAACUCUAGAACUGCCAUUGAUACUAUCUGUCUUGAAUAUUGUGGAGGUAAGCGGAAUAUGUCAUGUAGCGGUGAAAUGCUUAGAUAUGACAUAGAACACCUAUUGCGAAGGCAGCUUACUACGCAUAUAUUUGACGCUGAGGCACGAAAGCGUGGGGGAUCAAAACAGG
rnacentral:rRNA from 1 species